UACCAGCACCCCGAGUGGUCGGGACGAUUAUUGGGCCUAAAGCAUCCGUAGCCGGUCCUACAAGUCUUGCGUUAAAUCCACCUGCUUAACAGAUGGGCUGCGGAAGAUACUAUAGGGCUAGGAGGCGGGAGAGGCAAGCGGUACUCAGUGGGUAGGGGUAAAAUCCUCUGAUCCAUUGAAGACCACCAGUGGCGAAGGCGGCUUGCCAGAACGCGCUCGACGGUGAGGGAUGAAAGCUGGGGGAGCAAACCGG
rnacentral:rRNA from 1 species